CGGGGCCCCGUUUGUAUGUUCGUCCCUAUUUUUAGGGGCGCUUGUGUUUUUUUUAUCUCAUUUCAGAUAUCUUUGCAAGAAAAUUGCUUACCAAGCAUACAGGUACUACCAAAAAAAACUCUACCGAAUAGAAAGAUAUGUGCAAGUGACUACCAAGAACUACUUCCACAACCCAUAGGAGGACAUGGUCAGACCAAUUGAUGUACCAAGACACUAAAAUUAUUGGCAUACUGCUAAGGUUACAGAAUUAAUUUCUUUUCGCACCACAAAGCACCAGGACUUCUAAAUACCUGCCAGGAGGAUACGCAUAUUUAAAGGGGCAUUUGUGUGUUUUUUUUUUCAUUUUAGAUGUCUUUCAAAGAAGACAUUAUAUUGUAUGUCUAUAUGUUUUACCAAGAUAUACACGAACCACCAAGAGACCACUACCGAAUUAAAGGACAUGUGCAAAUCUUGCACGAGAUUUGGCAGAAAAUAUUAACUCAAAACCAACUAGCACCACUACUACUACCUGAACUACCGCCUGCAACUGAAUUGGAUGAUAUGACAUAAUCAAAAGGAAAAUUA